AAGCCAGCCAUGAAUCUGCUAACCUGAAUGUGUUUCUGCAGAAACUUAAAAAACUGGCAAUAGUAAAGCCAUGUUACCAGCCUUAAGGACAUUGAAGUCCUUAAGGUCCCUGAAAAUGGCUAUAACA
rnacentral:snoRNA from 1 species